rnacentral:rRNA from 1 species
UACAGGGGGUGCAAACGUUGCUCGGAAUCAUUGGGCGUAAAGCGCACGUAGGUGGUUCGUUAUGUCGGAUGUGAAAGCCCUUGGCUUAACCGAGGAAGUGCAUCCGAAACUGGCGAGCUAGAGUACUAAAGAGGAUCGCGGAAUUCCCGGUGUAGAGGUGAAAUUCGUAGAUAUCGGGAGGAACACCGGUGGCGAAGGCGGCGAUCUGGGUAGAUACUGACGCUGAGGUGCGAAAGCGUGGGGAGCAAACAGG